UACAGAGGGUGCGAGCGUUGUUCGGAAUUACUGGGCGUAAAGCGCGCGCAGGCGGCCCUUUAAGUCUGUCGGUCAAACGCCGGGGCUCAACCCCGUGCUCGCCGGAGAUACUGGAGGGCUGGAGACACGUAGAGGCAAGCGGAAUUCCGGGUGUAGCGGUGGAAUGCGUAGAGAUCCGGAAGAACACCGGAGGCGAAGGCGGCUUGCUGGGCGUUGUCUGACGCUGAGGCGCGAAAGCGUGGGGAGCGAACAGG
rnacentral:rRNA from 1 species